GCGGCUGCUGUCCCGCCACCCUCACUGGAUGCCAAGGCUCUGGGAAGCGUGUGGGGGAUGCCCAAGGCCUGGCUUCAGGCUGUGGGAGAGCAGAGGAGGAGCUGGAAGAGCAGCCUACAACAGCUGUCGGGAGGGACCAGGGCUAGUUCACACUUGGAAGCUGGGAUGCCAGGACCGGCCCUCCUGCCUCUCUCGGUCUCCAUCGGCCUCCUGGUCAGCUCACUCCACACUGAGACGACUUAAGAAGAUGAGGCCCCCGAUUCUGUUAGCUGCCCUCCUCUGGCUCCAGGACUCUUUGGCCCAGGAAGAUGUAUGCUCAUCCUUGGAUGGGAGCCCAGACAGGCAGGGUGAAGGUCCACCUCUGAGUGUGAACGUCAGCAGCCGCGGAAAGCCUACCAGCCUGU
ensembl:processed_transcript Ptprv protein tyrosine phosphatase, receptor type, V